rnacentral:tRNA from 1 species
GGAAGCGUGGCAGAGUGGCUUAAUGCUCUGGCCUUGAAAACCAGCGUCUCUGAGAGGGGACCGUCAGUUCGAAUCUGACCGCUUCCGCCA